CCUACGGGAGGCAGCAGUGGGGAAUUUUGGACAAUGGGCGCAAGCCUGAUCCAGCCAUGCCGCGUGAGUGAAGAAGGCCUUCGGGUUGUAAAGCUCUUUCGGCCGGGACGAAAUCGCAUGCGUGAAUAUCGUGUGUGGAUGACGGUACCGGAAUAAGAAGCACCGGCUAACUACGUGCCAGCAGCCGCGGUAAUACGUAGGGUGCGAGCGUUAAUCGGAAUUACUGGGCGUAAAGCGUGCGCAGGCGGUUUCGUAAGCCAGAUGUGAAAUCCCCGGGCUUAACCUGGGAACUGCAUUUGGGACUGCGAGGCUAGAGUACGGCAGAGGGAGGUGGAAUUCCACGUGUAGCAGUGAAAUGCGUAGAUAUGUGGAGGAACACCGAUGGCGAAGGCAGCCUCCUGGGCUAGUACUGACGCUCAUGCACGAAAGCGUGGGGAGCAAACAGGAUUAGAUACCCUGGUAGUCCACGCCCUAAACCGAUGACAACUAGUUGUUGGGGAUUUAACAUCCUUAGUAACGCAGCUAACGCGUGAAGUUGUCCGCCUGGGGAGUACGGUCGCAGAUUAAAACUCAAAGGAAUUGACGG
rnacentral:rRNA from 1 species